UUUAAGCAUAUUAUUAAGCGGAGGAAAAGAAACUAACAAGGAUUCCCUUAGUAGCUGCGAGCGAACAGGGAUAAGCUCAGCAUGAAAUCUUGUAAUCUAACGGUUAUCAAGAAAUGUCAUGUUUAGGAAGAUUCGUUUAUCCUAGAAUGUACACUUAGUCCAAGUCCACCUUGAAUGGGGCAUAUCCCGUAGAGGGUGCCAGUCCCGUAGUGGCAAGUGUCUAAAAUCAUUUUAGGUGAAUCUUUCCUUAGAGUCGGGUUGCUUGUAAAUGCAGCUCUAAUUGGGUGGUAAACUCCAUCUAAAGCUAAAUAUAACCACGAGACCGAUAGCGAACAAGUAC
rnacentral:rRNA from 1 species